rnacentral:rRNA from 1 species
UACGUAGGGUGCGAGCGUUGUCCGGAAUUAUUGGGCGUAAAGAGCUUGUAGGCGGUUUGUCGCGUCUGCUGUGAAAUUCCGGGGCUCAACCCCGGACUUGCAGUGGGUACGGGCAGACUAGAGUGUGGUAGGGGAGACUGGAAUUCCUGGUGUAGCGGUGGAAUGCGCAGAUAUCAGGAAGAACACCAAUGGCGAAGGCAGCUCGCUGGGACGGUACUGACGCUGAGACGCGAAAGCGUGGGGAGCAAACAGG